CGCGUGAGCGAUGAAGGCCUUCGGGUCGUAAAGCUCUGUUGUUAGAGAAGAACAAGUACGAGAGUAACUGCUCGUACCUUGACGGUACCUAACCAGAAAGCCACGGCUAACUACGUGCCAGCAGCCGCGGUAAUACGUAGGUGGCAAGCGUUAUCCGGAAUUAUUGGGCGUAAAGCGCGCGCAGGCGGUCUCUUAAGUCUGAUGUGAAAGCCCACGGCUCAACCGUGGAGGGUCAUUGGAAACUGGGAGACUUGAGUGCAGGAGAGAAAAGUGGAAUUCCACGUGUAGCGGUGAAAUGCGUAGAGAUGUGGAGGAACACCAGUGGCGAAGGCGGCUUUUUGGCCUGUAACUGACGCUGAGGCGCGAAAGCGUGGGGAGCAAACAGGAUUAGAUACCCUGGUAGUCCACGCCGUAAACGAUGAGUGCUAGGUGUUGGGGGGUUCCACCCUCAGUGCUGAAGUUAACACAUUAAGCACUCCGCCUGGGGAGUACGACCGCAAGGUUGAAACUCAAAGGAAUUGACGGGGGCCCGCACAAGCAGUGGAGCAUGUGGUUUAAUUCGAAGCAACGCGAAGAACCUUACCAGGUCUUGACAUCCUUUGACCACUCUAGAGAUAGAGCUUUCCCCUUCGGGGGACAAAGUGACAGGUGGUGCAUGGUUGUCGUCAGCUCGUGUCGUGAGAUGUUGGGUUAAGUCCCGCAACGAGCGCAACCC
rnacentral:rRNA from 1 species